rnacentral:tRNA from 1 species
GGGGUUGUGGCUCAAUGGUAGAGUGCUUGCCUAGCAUGCAUGAGGCACUGAGUUCAAUUCUCAGCACCACG